rnacentral:rRNA from 1 species
AGAGUUUGAUCAUGGCUCAGGACGAACGCUGGCGGCGCGCCUAACACAUGCAAGUCGAACGAGCGAGAGAGAGCUUGCUUUCUCGAGCGAGUGGCGAACGGGUGAGUAACGCGUGAGGAACCUGCCUCAAAGAGGGGGACAACAGUUGGAAACGACUGCUAAUACCGCAUAAGCCCACGGUGCCGCAUGGCACAGAGGGAAAAGGAGCAAUCCGCUUUGAGAUGGCCUCGCGUCCGAUUAGCUAGUUGGUGAGGUAAUGGCCCACCAAGGCGACGAUUGGUAGCCGGACUGAGAGGUUGAACGGCCACAUUGGGACUGAGACACGGCCCAGACUCCUACGGGAGCA